AUUGAACGCUGGCGGCAGGCCUAACACAUGCAAGUCGAGCGGCAGCGGGAAAGUAGCUUGCUACUUUUGCCGGCGAGCGACGGACGGGUGAGUAAUGCCUGGGAAAUUGCCCAGUCGAGGGGGAUAACAGUUGGAAACGACUGCUAAUACCGCAUACGCCCUACGGGGGAAAGCAGGGGACCUUCGGGCCUUGCGCGAUUGGAUAUGCCCAGGUGGGAGUAGCUAGUUGGUGAGGUAAUGGCUCACCAAGGCGACGAUCCCUAGCUGGUCUGAGAGGAUGAUGAGCCACACCGGAACUGAGACACGGUCCAGACUCCUACGGGAGGCAGCAGUGGGGAAUAUUGCACAAUGGGGGAAACCCUGAUGCAGCCAUGCCGCGUGUGUGAAGAAGGCCUUCGGGUUGUAAAGCACUUUCAGCGAGGAGGAAAGGUUGAUGCCUAAUACGUAUCAACUGUGACGUUACUCGCAGAAGAAGCACCGGCUAACUCCGUGCCAGCAGCCGCCGUAACAC
rnacentral:rRNA from 1 species